GUGUCAGCCGCCGCGGUAAGACGAACCGUGCGAACGUUAUUCGGAAUCACUGAGCUUAAAGCGCGUGUAGGCGGGUCGGCACGUCGGUCGCUGAAAUCCCCCGGCUCAACCGGGGAACGGGCGCCGAUACGACCGACCUCGAGGGACGUAGGGGGAGCCGGAACUUCCGGUGGAGCGGUGAAAUGCGUUGAGAUUGGAAGGAACGCCCGUGGCGAAAGCGGGCUCCUGGACGUCCACUGACGCUGAGACGCGAAAGCCAGGGGAGCGAACGGGAUUAGAUACCCCUGUAGUCC
rnacentral:rRNA from 1 species